rnacentral:rRNA from 1 species
GAUGAACGCUGGCGGCGUGCUUAACACAUGCAAGUCGAACGGUAAGGCCCUUCGGGGUACACGAGUGGCGAACGGGUGAGUAACACGUGGGUGAUCUGCCCUGCGCUUCGGGAUAAGCCUGGGAAACUGGGUCUAAUACCGGAUAGGACCACUGCCUGCAUGGGUGGUGGUGGAAAGCUUUUGCGGUGUGGGAUGGGCCCGCGGCCUAUCAGCUUGUUGGUGGGGUGAUGGCCUACCAAGGCGGCGACGGGUAGCCGGCCUGAGAGGGUGACCGGCCACACUGGGACUGAGAUACGGCCCAGACUCCUACGGGAGGCAGCAGUGGGGAAUAUUGCACAAUGGGCGCAAGCCUGAUGCAGCGACGCCGCGUGAGGGAUGACGGCCUUCGGGUUGUAAACCUCUUUCAGCACCGACGAAGCGCAAGUGACGGUAGGUGCAGAAGAAGGACCGGCCAACUACGUGCCAGCCGCCGCAGUAA